AGCGAACGCUGGCGGCAGGCCUAACACAUGCAAGUCGAACGAACCCUUCGGGGUUAGUGGCGGACGGGUGAGUAACACGUGGGAACGUGCCUUUAGGUUCGGAAUAACUCAGGGAAACUUGUGCUAAUACCCAAUGUGCCCUUCGGGGGAGAGGUUUAUCGCCUUUAGAGCGGCCCGCGUCUGAUUAGCUCGUUGGUGAGGUAAUGGCUCACAAAGGCUACGAUCAGCAGCUGGUCUGAGAGGAUGACCAGCCACAUUGGGACUGAGACACGGGCCGAACUCCUACGGGAGGCAGCAGUGGAGAAUCUUGCGCAAUGUGCGAAAGCCUGACGCAGCCAUGCUGCGUGGAUGAUGAAGGUCUUAGGAUUGUAAAAUCCUUUCACCGGUGAAGAUAAUGACUGCAGACGGAGAAGAAGCCCCGGCUAACUUCGUGCCAGCCGCCGCAGUAAUAC
rnacentral:rRNA from 1 species